rnacentral:rRNA from 1 species
GACGAACGCUGGCGGCGUGCUUAACACAUGCAAGUCGAGCGGUAAGGCCUCUUCGGGGGUACACGAGCGGCGAACGGGUGAGUAACACGUGGGUGACCUGCCCCUUACUCUGGGAUAAGCCUGGGAAACUGGGUCUAAUACCGGAUAUGACUCAUGAUCGCAUGGUUGUGGGUGGAAAGUUUUUUCGGUGGGGGAUGGGCCCGCGGCCUAUCAGCUUGUUGGUGGGGUGAUGGCCUACCAAGGCGACGACGGGUAGCCGGCCUGAGAGGGCGACCGGCCACACUGGGACUGAGACACGGCCCAGACUCCUACGGGAGGCAGCAGUGGGGAAUAUUGCGCAAUGGGCGGAAGCCUGACGCAGCGACGCCGCGUGGGGGAUGACGGCCUUCGGGUUGUAAACCUCUUUCGCCAGGGACGAAGCUUUGGUGACGGUACCUGGAGAAGAAGCACCGGCCAACUACGUGCCAGCAGCCGCCGUAAAAC